CCAUUCUCCAUCCCUUACCCAUGCUAUGCGCGGCUAGAGAACAUUCAGGUAUCGUCAAUGUAACAUUGUGUUUUUGUAGCCGGAAGAAGUUUCCAAAAUCAAAGCCAACUUCUACCGUUAGGGGAGACAUAAAUAUGGUGGAGCUGGCGAAGCAGGCUGAGGACGGUGACCCAGUCGGACUCAAAGACGAUCCAUCUUUCUCCAAGAUCCAGACAUUCAUGGCGUGGAUGGUCCUACUCAUUUUCCUGAUUGCGAUCGGAGGAUUGAGCGCCACCAUAUUUGUUUUCACACGUGAGUAGAAAGGGCCCAGGCUGGCUCCCUCUCCGCGACUCGGUUACACAUUCUGUCCUCCCAAGUCUCUUUUCCCUUUCCCAUGCAAGGCCAGAUCCUGGCCCCCUUUGAGCUACUCCAGGAGCAUAACCGGGAUGGAAACUAACAUCUCCCUAACUAGGAAUUCCCCUGCUAUAGGGGAGAUCCCUACUAGCGUAGACAACCCUGGCAUAGGGAAUGUCAUGACA
rnacentral:lncRNA from 1 species